rnacentral:rRNA from 1 species
GAUGAACGCUAGCGGCAGGCCUAACACAUGCAAGUCGAGGGGCAGCAUAGUAGCAAUACUGAUGGCGACCGGCGCACGGGUGCGUAACGCGUAUGCAACCUGCCUUAUACAGGGGGAUAGCUUUCGGAAACGAGAAUUAAUACCCCAUAACAUUUUGGUAAGCCUUUACUAAAAUUAAAAGCUCCGGCGGUAUAAGAUGGGCAUGCGUGACAUUAGCUAGUUGGUAGGGUAACGGCCUACCAAGGCGAUGAUGUCUAGGGGUUCUGAGAGGAUGAUCCCCCACACUGGUACUGAGACACGGACCAGACUCCUACGGGAGGCAGCAGUGAGGAAUAUUGGGCAAUGGAGGCAACUCUGACCCAGCCAUGCCGCGUGCAGGAAGACAGCCCUAUGGGUUUUAAACUGCUUUUAUACAGGGCGAAUUCUGUUACGUGUAACAGGUUGACGGUACUGUAUGAAUAAGGAUCGGCUAACUCCGUG